rnacentral:rRNA from 1 species
AACGCUGGCGGCGUGCCUAAUACAUGCAAGUCGAACGAACUCUGGUAUUGAUUGGUGCUUGCAUCAUGAUUUACAUUUGAGUGAGUGGCGAACUGGUGAGUAACACGUGGGAAACCUGCCCAGAAGCGGGGGAUAACACCUGGAAACAGAUGCUAAUACCGCAUAACAACUUGGACCGCAUGGUCCGAGUUUGAAAGAUGGCUUCGGCUAUCACUUUUGGAUGGUCCCGCGGCGUAUUAGCUAGAUGGUGAGGUAAUGGCUCACCAUGGCAAUGAUACGUAGCCGACCUGAGAGGGUAAUCGGCCACAUUGGGACUGAGACACGGCCCA